rnacentral:rRNA from 1 species
AUUGAACGCUGGCGGCAUGCUUUACACAUGCAAGUCGAACGGUAACAGGUUAAGCUGACGAGUGGCGAACGGGUGAGUAAUGCAUCGGAACGUGCCCAAUCGUGGGGGAUAACGCAGCGAAAGCUGCGCUAAUACCGCAUACGAUCUGAGGAUAAAAGCGGGGGACCGUAAGGCCUCGCGCGAUCGGAGCGGCCGAUGUCAGAUUAGGUAGUUGGUGGGGUAAAGGCCCACCAAGCCGACGAUCUGUAGCUGGUCUGAGAGGACGACCAGCCACACUGGGACUGAGACACGGCCCAGACUCCUACGGGAGGCAGCAGUGGGGAAUUUUGGACAAUGGGCGAAAGCCUGAUCCAGCAAUGCCGCGUGCAGGAAGAAGGCCUUCGGGUUGUAAACUGCUUUUGUACGGAGCGAAAAGGUCCUUUCUAAUACAGGGGGCUCAUGACGGUACCGUAAGAAUAAGCACCGGCUAACUACGUGCCAGCCGCCGCAGUAA